ACUCGUUAAAACUACGGAGCAUUAGGAUUUAUAAAAUGGAAAUCGAAGUCAUCAGAGAAGAUGAUUGCGAUACUAACGAUCUGCUGCAAACCAAAUACUUCCGAGAUUGACGUGGUUAUGGAGCUAGAAGCUAAAGGCAAACCUGAAGUGGGAAUCUCUAAUACGUUUUGCUAAUUGACGUGAGCGGAAGCAUGGAUUCUAUUAGUGAGGGUCAAUCUUUAAGGUGGAUGGAUAGAAUGAAGAAAUUCGCUACGUUGUUUAUCGACAAUGCAAGCGACACUGCAUGGAUAGGCAUCGUAUAACAUUUUCAUGUACUGCUAAAAUAAAAAUGGAACUCAGGCAAAUGACCGCGGAAGGAAAGGUAUAAGUGUAUGAUUAGA